UCGAUUCGUAAAUUAGUCAUUGACGAAGACGGGGACGCCGACGACGAGGACGACGUGCGUAUGAAAAAGUAAUUUUUCCAAGAGAAAGCUAAAAAAAAGGUAUAUUCAAUUUUGUGGGAUAGCUCCUUGCCCACGCAGCCUUACUGGGCCUUAUUAAGUAAGGAAGGAGGGAGGAAGAAAUUACGGCUGAGGACCUAAGGAACCGAAUAAAUGAGACGAUACGACGAGGGAGAUGAGACGGUGAGGUGACCGGAGGGAUUAUGCCAAACCUACUUACCUAAGCGAUUAACUUGAUCAAACCUGUAUAUCGCGAAUGAAAAGAUGACUCCAAACGACCGCCAUAUUCGCUAGCCAAGCAACACUGUCGAUGCGUCCAAGGUGACGUUAACUGAGAUUUUUCCUACGUUUUGAAUUUCCUCCAGCCUGCACACAGGCAACUAGAAUCUCCUGACUUUUAAUUCGGCCUUUUGUGCCUACAAUGACUCGCUCCACUCACUAAAUCCGAAAAGUGAUUUAUGGGAUUCCAUUAAAUGCAAUUCAACCA